rnacentral:rRNA from 1 species
UGUAGCUUGACAUUGGGUCUUGGUACUACAUGUACAGGAUAGGUGGGAGGCUUUGAAACCAGGACGCCAGUUUUGGCGGAGCCAUCCUUGGGAUACCACCCUUGUAGUACUGGGACUCUAACCAUAGGCCAUGAAUCUGGUCUUGGGACACUGUCAGGUGGGCAGUUUGACUGGGGCGGUCGCCUCCCAAAAGGUAACGGAGGCGCUCAAAGGUUCUCUCAGUACGGUCGGAAAUCGUACGUAGAGUGUAAAGGCAAAAGAGAGCUUGAUUGCAAGACAUACAGGUCGAGCAAGGAUGAAAAUCGGACUUAGUGAUCCGGUGGUGCUGCGUGGAAGGGCCAUCGCUCAACGGAUAAAAGCUACCCUGGGGAUAACAGGCUUAUCCCCCCCAAGAGUCCACAUCGACGGGGAGGUUUGGCACCUCGAUGUCGGCUCAUCACAUCCUGGGGCUGUAGUAGGUCCCAAGGGUUGGGCUGUUCGCCCAUUAAAGUGGUACGCGAGCUGGGUUCAGAACGUCGUGAGACAGUUCGGUCCCUAUCCGUCGCAGGCGUAGGAAAUUUGAGAAGACC